rnacentral:rRNA from 1 species
AGCAGCCGCGGUAAUUCCAGCUCCAAUAGCGUAUAUUAAAGUUGUUGCAGUUAAAAAGCUCGUAGUUGAAUUUCGGGAUCAAUUUAUCGGUCGUGCCAAUGGUAUGAACUGGUACAAUUGGUUUCUCCCUUCUGACGAAGCAUGAUGUUAUUAAUUUGGUGUCGUGGGGAAUCAGGACUGUUACUUUGAAAAAUUAGAGUGUUUAAAGCAAGCAUUAGCUUGAAUACAUUAGCAUGGAAUAAUGAAAUAGGACGUUUGAUCCUAUUUCGUUGGUUUCUAGGAUCGACGUAAUGAUUAAUAGGGAUAGUUGGGGGCAUUAGUGUUCAAUUGUCAGAGGUGAAAUUCUUGGAUUUAUUGAAGACUAACUACUGCGAAAGCAUUUGCCAAGGAUGUUUUCAUUAAUACAAGAACGAAAGUUAGGGGGAUCGAAGACGAUCAGAUACCGUCGUAGUCUUAACCAUAAACUAUAGCCGACUAGGGAUCGGAUGAUGUUAAUUUUUAUGACUCAUUCGGCGCC